CCUAGAUGGAAAGGACCCCUGAAGCCAGGGCUAAGACACCCAAAGCAGCCAAGCAGUCCAAAAAAGACUCUAACAAUGAGUGGAAAACCACAUUCGCAUCAAGCAAGACCUCCUUCACCAAAGGCAGGGUUUCGUUCCUGAGGACUAAGUACGCCAUCUCCUGGGGCAAAUCCUCCAUCUUCUGGAGCAGAACCACCGUAACUUUGGGCAACACCAACAUAGCGUUGGGCAAAACCUCGGUUACACGAGGGGAGACCACGAGCUCUCUCACCACUCUGACCUUCACCCAUGGGACCAAGUCUGUGUCUGUGUUCAAAACCACCCUCAUCAGGGGCACAGAAACGCACAGCAACAUCUACUGGGACUUUCACACUAUUCCUGCUGCACACACUUAAACAUCCAAGGAUAUUUCUAUCUGGUCAGUGUUAGCAGUCUUGGCAUAACCAGCAGGAUCAGAUGACACAGGCAGACUCCUCACUGGCCGCAGCAUUGUGUAACCACCAGCCAGUGCUGUUGUUUAUCGUCCUGGACUGUCGAGGGAGACGUCCUGUCCUGUACUGGAUCUGCACAAAGAUAAAGUGCUUCGACAAAUAUUAAGAAAAGAAUGAUAAUUUGGGUCAUAUCUGAAUAGGUUAUAAAAAAUGCAACUGCAGCAGGGUGUGUCUCUCUCUCGCUCUCACCGGCCCCAUCUGUGAAUAAGCGUCCAGGCAAAGUGUUUCAUGGUCAGAGGAGGUGUAGAGGGAUUAGUGUGCAAAGUGGACAGUGAGGGUGAUGGGUUGAGAAGCGUGGAGAGUGUAAAGCAGAUGUUUGAAUAUGACAGGGGGGUAAAAUAGCAGGUUGAUCCGCAGAUGAGAGACGCCCAAAUGUUAAGUCUAACCAACAGAGACUUCUGCUGUAAUUUCACAUAUUUGAUGGUAAAAAAUAGCUUUGGAAAUUAGGGAAAAUGCAAAAGAAGGCUGCACAGAAACUGAACUAGCAAACAAUGUUAUUGCAGACGUGCAAAGAUUUGUUCCUAUUAUACCUUAAAAAUGGAGCUGAGUGGUGGAAAGUGACACUCUUUACUAUUCAGAAUUUUAAAAAGGACAACCCACGUGCAGAAGCAUGUCCACGAGAUAUGAGUACGUGGUCGUGUUUACUACAGCGCAGGACAUUUUAUUCUCUCCUCUCGAGCCACGCCCCGGAAGAGCUCAAACCGAGAUGCACCACAUCGCCGCCCUCCGUGCUUUCACUCCCCGCUCCUUUUGUUUACAGGAAGCAGCUGUAGGGAUAGCACCUCACAUCAGACCUGUCAAGUCUCACUCAUCUUAUCUAUGUUUUCUUAGGUUCACCGUGUCCACGGCAACACUGUUCCUCCAAGACGACGGCAUGAGAGAUUUCUUAGCCAGACUAAAGCAACAACACAGUCAAUUUUAAAACAUUACAGUACAGCAUGUUGCCUGUAAACAAAUUGUAACAGCAUUUUGGCUCGGAUAAACAAACUGGACUUCCCACUGACUGCAGAAAGCCUCGGCCCUGCCAUGUUAAAAUAAAACCUGUUGCUAGUGGCAACAGCACAGAGAUGCAGUAGAUCACGAUGACACUGCUGUCACUGUGGACAUGAUAAAUAUCACCAAGUCUCUUCAAAGCCAUUAAGACAAAGCACCUGUGGAUUUUCUGAUGCUGUCGGGUAAAAAAACACUGCAGCUAAAAUCAUCACGGUCAUUUCAAUGUAUUACCCUCAGUCUGAAGGCUGAUACAAGCCUCUGCAGGAGGACAUUUUUACAAGUUUGGAUUUGGAUAAACUCAAAAUUAGCUGAAUAUUCUUUUCAUUUCGAAGUUGCAAAUUUUUCACCUGACCGCAGCAGUCUCUUUUAUUGUUUUUCUCUGCCAUUAUUAUCUUUAUCGUAACGCCUAUAAGUCCCUGGCACUUGCAGAAACUGUUCCCUGUGGCGGUGCAAAUGUUUGAUCAGGUUUAUUAUACACAAAUGUCUAUUGCUGUACAUAUGUGUUUCUAAUUCUAAUGGGCUCCUUCUGUUAAGUAUGACACUGUAAACACAAGGCACUGAAACAUUGUGCCUGGUACUGGUGACCCACUUUAUGCCAGAUCAUGUGAGUACACUUUUAAAAAAAAGAAUCGUGAUGAUAGUUUGUCUCUGUUAUGACCACCCCGGUGACAGACAGGGGAACAUGUGACGACCCCAAACCAGAACAGAAACAUCCCCCUUCUCUGAAGUCCCACAAAAAGACAUAAGGUCUUGUUGGGAGUGUUAAUCUCUGUGUGUGUUGAUUGUAUUUUAAACGUGUAUGAUGUGACAGUGAGGGAAAAGGGGUCAGGCUUUAAAUAUACACAUACACAGGGGGGAAGUAAAGGCUUGGCCUGGUGUACUAAUCUAGCACUAACGUCAGCUUAGUUACUGUAGCCAGGCAGCAGUUCAUCCUGUGGAAGUAGCUGUGUCUCAGCAGCACGACAGCCUGGAUCCUGUAUCCUGCACCAACAUGACGCCCAGCCUCUGCUGAUUCAGGAUCACUCUCCAAUGAGACUGUGCGAACACCACAGCUUUUGACUACUUGAAUCACCUCUGACCAGAAUGGCAUCAAGAAGAAAAACAUUUUUAAAAAGGUCAGAAACAUCUUGAAUCUGACAGCGACACAGACGCGCCUGGAAGGAGUCGCCCUCCAACUGAACCUAAUCAAUGUCAUGUUCAUUAGAGAAUGGAAAGAAACUGUGUAGCAAGCAUUACUGACGGAAAGCUGUUUGUGAUUUAUUUCUGUCUCGUCCUGUGUGUUUGUCAUUAAAAUGCUUAAAUGAUUAAAUUGGUCUUAGCACCGUCAGGCCGACCUGAAAACAACAGUGUUUUUGUUCCCUCGAUAAUCUUUCUCUGCGUGUUGUUGUGAGUCCCUCGUGAGAACUUUUCUUUCUUUGCAGGCAUGCUCUGUGUGACGUUGUGUGUUUUGCUUCACUGUACGUGUCACUAAAAGGCAGACAGGACCUUGGAUAGAAAGGUACUGGAAUAAAAAUGCUUGAUUGUGUGUCUA